UUGACCUCAAAUCAAGUAGGAUUACCCGCUGAACUUAAGCAUAUCAAUAAGCGGAGGAAAAGAAACCAACAGGGAUUGCCUUAGUAGCGGCGAGUGAAGCGGCAAAAGCUCAAAUUUGAAAUCUGGCACUUUCAGUGUCCGAGUUGUAAUUUGUAGAAGCAACUUUGGAUUUGGUCCUUGCAUAAGUUCCUUGGAAUAGGACGUCAUAGAGGGUGAGAAUCCCGUUUAUGGUGAGGAUACCAUUUCUUUGUAAAGUGCUUUCGAAGAGUCGAGUUGUUUGGGAAUGCAGCUCUAAGUGGGUGGUAAAUUCCAUCUAAAGCUAAAUAUUGGCGAGAGACCGAUAGCGAACAAGUACUGUGAAGGAAAGAUGAAAAGAACUUUGAAAAGAGAGUGAAAAAGUACGUGAAAUUGUUGAAAGGGAAGGGCUUGAAAUCAGACUUGGUAUUCAGUGAUCAAUUACCUUUCGGGGUGGUGCACUCGCUGUUUACUGGGCCAGCAUCGGUUUGAGCGGUAGGAUAAUGACUUUGGAAUGUGGCUCUUCGGAGUGUUAUAGCCUUUGUUGAUACUACCAGUUUGGACCGAGGACCGCGUCUUUGACUAGGAUGCUGGCGUAAUGGUUUUAAGCCAC
rnacentral:rRNA from 1 species